UACGUAGGGUGCGAGCGUUGUCCGGAAUUAUUGGGCGUAAAGGGCUCGUAGGCGGUUUGUCGCGUCGGGAGUGAAAACCCAGGGCUUAACCCUGGGCUGGCUUCCGAUACGGGCAGACUAGAGGUAUGCAGGGGAGAACGGAAUUCCUGGUGUAGCGGUGAAAUGCGCAGGAUAUCAGGAGGAACACCGGUGGCGAAAGGCGGUUCUCUGGGCAUUACCUGACGCUGAGGAGCGAAAGUGUGGGGAGCGAACAGG
rnacentral:rRNA from 1 species